AAAAAGAGCAUCUGCUGUGAAUAGCGUAGCUGCGGAAGGGAUUCUUUGACACAGUUGCGGAAUCGCUAUCAAGAGACAAGAUGCACAAUUUUUAUAAUCUGAGGCUACCAAUGAUCUGUUAUCUUGGUGCCUCA
ensembl:snRNA